rnacentral:rRNA from 1 species
UACGUAGGAGACGAGCGUUGUCCGGAGUUACUGGGCGUAAAGGGUGCGCAGGUGGCGGCGCGCGUGGGGGGUGAAAUCGCCCGGCUUAACUGGGCGGGGGCCUUCCAGACGGCGUGGCUUGAGCAGCGGAGGGGGACGUGGAAUUCCGGGUGGAGCGGUGAAAUGCGUAGAGAUCCGGAGGAACACCGACGGCGCAGGCAGCGUCCUGGCAGCUUGCUGACACUGAGGCACGAAAGCUGGGGGAGCAAACAGG